rnacentral:tRNA from 1 species
UAGAAAUUAGUAUAAGUUGGCAGUACAUAAGGUUUUGGACCUUAAGGUUUGGGUUCGUGACCCAAUUUUCUAG